rnacentral:ncRNA from 4 species
GGUUUCCGUAGGUGAACCUGCGGAAGGAUCA